AUUAAAGAGAUUGUUGUGCAAUUCAAUAUAAUUUGAUUAUUGAUGGAAUUAUUAUUAUUUUUUUAUAAAAUUAUUUUUUAUUUUAUUAUUUUCAUAGAAAAGAUUUAUUUUAUUAUAGGUUAUUAGUAUAGUGGUAGAAAUUUGAUAUAAAAAUUAAGAUUUUUUAUAGAAUAAUUAAUUUUUAGUACCUUUUGUAUCAGGGUUGAUUAAAUAGAAGUUUUUAAUAAAAUUUUCUCGAAUUAAAAAGAUUUAAUUGGUUAUUUAUUUGUUUGUAAAAUAAAAUUUUAUAAUAAUUAGUUAGUAAUGAAAUGUUAUUCGUUUUUUAAUAUAUCUGGUUUUUCAAGAGAAGAAUUUAAUUCUAACGUUUGAUUUUAUUUUUUUGUUGGUAAAUUUAUAAUAUUUAGAUGGGGAAGAUCUAAUGGGAUGAGCUUUUGGAUUUAUUUUAAAAUAUUUUAAUUUUUUUAGAUAAUUUGUAUAAUUAAAAUUGUUAAUCUUUAUUAUAAUUUUAUAAUUUUUUAUUUUUAUUUAAGAUUUAUAUUUUAUUUAAGUUUUUUAUUGAAAUUUUAUUAGUAAUAUAAAUUAUUAAUUGAUAAUGAUUGAAUUAGUAAAUAUUUUUUGUGGGUUAUUAAUUUGCUGAAAGGUUUAUGGAAGGAAUUCGGCAAAAUUUAUUUUUCGCCUGUUUAUUAAAAACAUGUCCUUUUGAUUAUAAUUUAAGGUCUAAUCUGCUCAAUGAGAGGUUAAAUUGCCGCGGUAUUUUGACCGUGCAAAGGUAGCAUAAUAAUUAGUUUUUUUAUUGAAAGCUGGAAUGAAUGAUUGGACGAGAGAAUAGCUGUCUCCUUUAAAUUUUAUUUUGAAUUUUAUUUUUAAGUUAAAAAGCUUAUAUAUUUUUUAGUGACGAGAAGACCCUAUAGAUUUUUAUAAUUUUAAUAGUAUAGAUUAAUUUUUGGUAUUUAAUGUUUUUAUUAUUAAUUUAUUUAGUUGGGGUGACUUUGAGAUUUGAUAAACUCUUUUAAUUUUAAAUCAUUGAUUUAUGAAUAAGUAAUCUAGAGUUUCUAAAUUUAAGAAUAAUUACCUUAGGGAUAACAGCGUAAUUUCCUUUUAGAGUUCUUAUUGAUUUGGAAGUUUGCGACCUCGAUGUUGGAUUAAAAUAAAUUUUUGGUGCAGAAGCUGAAUAAUUUGGUCUGUUCGACCUUUAAAAUUUUACAUGAUCUGAGUUUAAACCGGUGUGAGCCAGGUUGGUUUCUAUCUUGAGAUAAGUUUUACGUUUUAGUACGAAAGGACCGGACGUUUUAUAUAAUAUUUUAUUUUUGAAUAAAAUUAUUACUUUGGCAGAUUAGUGCAAUUGAUUUAGAAUCAAUGAAUGUGAUUU
rnacentral:rRNA from 1 species